rnacentral:rRNA from 1 species
GUUGGUUGCGAGAUAUUGUGGGUUUCACCUCUAGCCUACUCCAACUUGUUUGGGACUAAAGGCUUUGUUGUUGUUGGUCUCGUGGGCAAACCUUUGCUCUGUAACUGAGUCAGGUCAGUGCCUUUUCGGUGGUUUGUUCGAUUCAUUUGUGUUGGCCUCCAUGCGUUGGUUGCAGGACUGAAUCUGGUAUCUGGAGAUCAUGUCGAUGGGGGUUUGAGGAAGGUCUGAUUUGAAGGGCCAUCUCCUUGUGGUCUUCUGUUCAUGAGUUCCAGCAUUCAUCAUUUAAUAGGAGGUGGAUUCAGUGUCCUGAUUUAUUCUUAUUGUAGCAGUUGAUCUUGCUUUUGGUACGUGUGUAUGUUCUCCUUUACUUACAGCAGAAGCAGGAGGGUAGUAGUUCUGCAGAGAUGAAUCAAAGGCUGGCGAGGGAAAACACACAACGUGGAAUCAGACAUUAUUUCUCUCAAAGCAUUGGUACACUUUUGCUCUGAGCUGUUGCAAGAAUUAACUGCUCUGAGGGAUCUUCUGCUCCUUGAGGUACCCUGCAAAUUUCUCAGCAGUUGCAGCCAGAGGUCCGGUGCUGACCAUAGCUUCAAGCCCGGGGCCAGGGAUCCCUAGCAAAAGCAGCAAACCGUUGCUCGGUCAGUAUGCACAUGGACGACUUGAGGAAUUUUUUUUUUUGAAAGCAUACGAGUUGAGGAUUGAAGGGUGGUUUCUGGAUAUCUGACCUGGAGCAAAUGUGAGCUCCAAGAUGGUGCCGACGUCGCCGUCGCCGCUCACGAGCUGUAUCUUGGCGAGCACCUGUGGGAGAAGCUCUGGCAGCAGCUCGGCCGCACGGAGCGUGCCGUAGAGCCCCCAUAGCUCGGCGGCGGGCACAUCGGCCUCGAACUCGUGAACCUUGUUCCUCCUCAUCGCCAUGGACUUGAUGGACUGUGUGUGACGAGGGAAGUGUCUGUCAACCAAGAAGCUGAUGGAGUUCAGUGUGUGACGGUGUUUACAACUGAAACUGAUUAACUGUAUAUAUAGGCAAGUCGGG